rnacentral:rRNA from 1 species
CUGCCCUAUGAGUAUUCUAAGGCGCUUGAGAGAACUCAGGAGAAGGAACUCGGCAAAUUGACACCGUAACUUCGGAAGAAGGUGUGCCUUUAGUAGGUGAACCAUUUACUUGGGGAGCCCAAUGAGGCUGCAAAAAAUCGGUGGCUGCAACUGUUUAUUAAAAACACAGCACUCUGCUAAGACGAAAGUCGACGUAUAGGGUGUGACGCCUGCCCGGUGCUGGAAGAUUAAAUGAUGGGGUGCAAGCUCUUGAUUGAAGUCCCAGUAAACGGCGGCCGUAACAAUAACGGUCCUAAGGUAGCGAAAUUCCUUGUCGGGUAAGUUCCGACCUGCACGAAUGGCGUAAUGAUGGCCACACUGUCUCCUCCUGAGACUCAGCGAAGUUGAAAUGUUUGUGAUGAUGCAAUCUCCCCGCGGAAAGACGGAAAGACCCCAUGAACCUUUACUGUAGCUUUGUAUUGGACUUUGAACAGAUCUGUGUAGGAUAGGUGGGAGGCUUUGAAGUGUGGUCGCUAGAUCGCAUGGAGCCAACGUUGAAAUACCACCCUGGUGUGUUUGAGGUUCUAACCUAGGUCCAUUAUCUGGAUCGGGGACAGUGCAUGGUAGGCAGUUUGACUGGGGCGGUCUCCUCCCAAAGUGUAACGGAGGAGUUCGAAGGUACGCUAGGUACGGUCGGACAUCGUGCUAAUAGUGCAAUGGCAUAAGCGUGCUUAACUGCGAGACUGACAAGUCGAGCAGAUGCGAAAGCAGGACAUAGUGAUCCGGUGGUUCUGUAUGGAAGGGCCAUCGCUCAACGGAUAAAAGGUACUCUGGGGAUAACAGGCUGAUACCGCCCAAGAGUUCAUAUCGACGGCGGUGUUUGGCACCUCGAUGUCGGCUCAUCUCAUCCUGGGGCUGUAGCCGGUCCCAAGGGUAUGGCUGUUCGCCAUUUAAAGAGGUACGUGAGCUGGGUUUAAAACGUCGUGAGACAGUUUGGUCCCUAUCUUCCGUGGGCGCUGCAGAUUUGAGGAAGCCUGCUCCUAGUACGAGAGGACCGGAGUGGACGAACCUCUGGUGUAUCGGUUGUCACGCCAGUGGCAUUGCCGAGUAGCUAAGUUCGGAAGAGAUAACCGCUGAAAGCAUCUAAGCGGGAAACUCGUUUCAAGAUUAGAUCUGCCGGGGCCUUGAGCCCCCUAAAGAGUCGUUCAAGACCAGGACGUUGAUAGGUCAGGUGUGGAAGCCA